rnacentral:lncRNA from 1 species
AAUAGGUAGCAAGCUACCUGCUUCAUUCAGGCUGUUAUCACAGUUGUUUCUGAUCCUUUAAUAUUCUAUAUAUACGUAGAUUCUGUUGAAAAUUUAGUACUCGCUAUAAUAGCAAAUUUUGAGAAUUCAUAAUUAGUUCUGAAUUUGACUGUUGUUGAAAUGUCGAGUUAAAUUUUUUAUUACAAAUUUGUCUUCUCGGCAAAAACUGACACAAAUAGAAAGAUUUGGAUAAAAUAAAAUUCAUUAAACAAGAGAAAAAUUAUACCCGACUCUUUUUCUAAAUAGAGUAGCUUUAAACUGUGCCCUUUUUUUGAAUCUCUCUUAUGUUUUUCUCGUUUUCUAUAAACUCAGAACAUCUCUCUCAUCCCGUGCAACCGUGUACAAGAUAUAUUAAUGACCUACGACUACGAAAGCUGUACUCGUCUUCUUGCACUCAUGCACCGGGUGCAAAUCAUAACCAUCUUGACACACCAUGUAGGUAUGCCUAAGCUGUAGCACCACUAAAAUAAUAUCAUAUAUAUUAUACUUAUAGCUUAUAAUAAAAACUAUCCAAAUUCUAAUCUAAUUAGAUUUAUACCCUCUAAUUAAUAUCUAAGUUCAAAUUAAUUUAUCUCCAAUCAAUUUAAAUAUUUAUUCUAAUCCAACUAGAAAUCAACCAUAUAUAAAUCUAACCAAAUCCUAACAUAUUCAAAUCAUAAUCUACAAAAUUGUAAGUAA